rnacentral:rRNA from 1 species
ACGUAGGUGGCAAGCGUUGUCCGGAAUUAUUGGGCGUAAAGAGCGCGUAGGCGGGAUAAUCAGUCUGCUGUGAAAGUGCGGGGCUCAACCCCGUGAUUGCAGUGGAAACAGUUAUUCUUGAGUGCAGGAGAGGAAAGUGGAAUUCCCGGUGUAGCGGUGAAAUGCGUAGAUAUUGGGAGGAACACCAGUGGCGAAGGCGACUUUCUGGACUGUGUCUGACGCUGAGGCGCGAAAGCCAGGGUAGUGAACGG